UAGGGAAUCUUCCGCAAUGGACGCAAGUCUGACGGAGCAACGCCGCGCGAGUGAAGAAGGAUUUCGGUUCGUAAAACUCUGUUGUUAGAGAAGAACAGCGCAUAGAGUAACUGUUAUGCGUGUGACGGUAUCUAACCAGAAAGCCACGGCUAACUACGUGCCAGCAGCCGCGGUAAUACGUAGGUGGUAAGCGUUGUCCGGCUUUAUUGGGCGUAAAGCGAGCGCAGGCGGUCAAUUAAGUCUGAUGUGAAAGCCCCCGGCUCAACCGGGGAGGGUCAAUGGAAACUGGUUGACUUGAGUGCAGAAGAGGAGAGUGGAAUUCCAUGUGUAGCGGUGAAAUGCGUAGAUAUAUGGAGGAACGCCGGUGGCGAAAGCGGCUCUCUGGUCUGUAACUGACGCUGAGGCUCGAAAGCGUGGGGAGCGAACAGG
rnacentral:rRNA from 1 species